GGCAGCUGUCCCAGAAAAGAAGUUGCCUGAAGCUAUUCCUCCCAAACCGGAAAGUCCUCCCCCUGAAGUGCCUGAAGUGCUGCCACCGAAGGAAGUGGUCCCAGAAAAGAAAGUACCGGUGCCUCCUGCCAAAAAGCCAGAAGCUCCACCUCCUAAAGUGCCAGAGGCUCCCAAAGAAGUUGUCCUUGAAAAGAAAGUGCCCUCGGCUCCUCCUAAAAAGCCUGAAGUCCCACCUGUUAAAGUGCCAGAGGCUCCGAAAGAAGUUGUUCCUGAAAAGAAAGUGCCAGCGGCUCCUCCUAAAAAGCCUGAAGUCACACCUGUUAAAGGUAUUUGCUCCCAAAGAAGUUGUUCCUGAAAAGAAAGUGCCAGUGCCUCCUCCUAAAAAGCCUGAAGUGCCACCCACAAAAGUCCCAGAGGUGCCAAAGGUAGCUGUCCCAGAAAAGAAGGUGCCUGAAGCUAUUCCUCCCAAACCGGAAAGUCCUCCCCCUGAAGUGUUCGAGGAGCCUGAGGAAGUUGCCCUAGAAGAGCCUCCUGCUGAAGUUGUGGAAGAGCCAGAGCCAGCGGCGCCUCCACAAGUGACCGUACCACCUAAGAAACCUGUC
rnacentral:lncRNA from 1 species